rnacentral:rRNA from 1 species
GACGAACGCUGGCGGCGUGCUUAACACAUGCAAGUCGAACGGAAAGGCCCUGCUUGGGUGGGGUGCUCGAGGCGAGAACGGGAGUAUAACGCGUGUAUCACCUGCCUUUGACUGUGGUAAAACUUCAGGACACGGGGGAAUAUACCGGAUAGGAGCUCCCUGUGCAGGGGGGGGGUGGGAAAGUCUGGGCGGUGGGGGGGGGCCUCGGGGCUUAUGGGCUUGUUGGUGGGGUUGUGGCUUACCAGGGUUUUGGCGGGUAGCGGGCCUGAGGGGGUGACGGGCCAAAUUGGGACGGGGAACGGGCCCGGCCUCCUAGGGGAGGCAGCGGUGGGGAAUAUUGCACAAUGGGCGGAAGCCUAAUGCAGCAACGCCGCGUGCGGGAUGACGGCUUUCGGUUUGUAAACCGCUUCCGCCUGUGACGAGGUGUGAGUGACGGUAAUGGGUAAAGAAGCACCGGCUAACUACGUG